rnacentral:rRNA from 1 species
AUCAACUUUCGAUGGUAGGAUAGAGGCCUACCAUGGUGGUAACGGGUAACGGGGUGUUAGGGCACGACACCGGAGAGGGAGCCUGAGAAACGGCUACCACAUCCAAGGAUGGCAGCAGGCGCGCAAAUUACCCAAUCCCGACACGGGGAGGUAGUGACAAUAAAUAACAAUACGGGGUUCUUUAGGAUCUCGUAAUUGGAAUGAGUACAAUUUAAAUCUCUUAACGAGGAACAAUUGGAGGGCAAGUCUGGUGCCAGCAGCCGCGGUAAUUCCAGCUCCAAUAGCGUAUAUUAAAGUUGUUGCAGUUAAAAAGCUCGUAGUUGAAUUUCGGGACCAAUUUGUUGGUCGUGCCUCGGUACGUACUGGUAUUAUUGGUUUCUCCCUUCUGAAGAACCUUGAUGUCAUUAAUUUGGUGUCUUGGGGAAUCAGGACUGUUACUUUGAAAAAAUUAGAGUGUUUAAAGCAGGCAUACGCUUGAAUACAUUAGCAUGGAAUAAUGAAAUAGGACGUUUGAUUCUAUUUUGUUGGUUUCUAGGAUCGACGUAAUGAUUAAUAGGGAUAGUUGGGGGCAUUAGUAUUCAAUUGUCAGAGGUGAAAUUCUUGGAUUUAUUGAAGACUAACUACUGCGAAAGCAUUUGCCAAGGAUGUUUUCAUUAAUCAAGAACGAAAGUUAGGGGAUCGAAGACGAUCAGAUACCGUCGUAGUCUUAACCAUAAACUAUGCCGACUAGGGAUCGGAUGAUGUUAAUUU